GUAGGAGCCGGCUUGCUGGCGAUAGCGCGUUACGCGGUGUAUCUGAAUCACCGCGACGUCUGGAUCGCCAGCAAGCCGGCUCCUAC
rnacentral:misc_RNA from 1 species